UACGGGGGGGCAAGCGUUGUUCGGAAUUACUGGGCGUAAAGGGCUCGUCGGCGGCCAACUAAGUCCGACGUGAAAUCCCCAGGCUUAACCUGGGAACUGCGUCGGAUACUGGAUGGCUUGAAUCCGGGAGAGGGAUGCGGAAUUCCAGGUGUAGCGGUGAAAUGCGUAGAUAUCUGGAGGAACACCGGUGGCGAAGGCGGCAUCCUGGACCGGUAUUGACGCUGAUGAGCGAAAGCCAGGGGAGCAAACGGG
rnacentral:rRNA from 1 species